CGGGACGUUGUAAAGAAUUGUGGGAUAUGUUUAGUCCCUUUAGUAUUUUUUUUUCUGUCUACUUGUUUGUUUUUCGGUAUCAGUGUUUUUCCUUUUUCAGUUUUUCAGUGAGCCAGUUAAACAUUGGGAGCUUAAAUAUUAAUGGUGCAGAACCUCCCCUAAAAGGGCUCCCGUUAUUGAACUUAUUAAAAAUAAACCAUGAGCUAGAUGUUACCUUUCUGCAAGAAACCCAUAUAGAUAAGGCAAAUCAGUCAAAUUGGGAAAACACUGGAAAAGUGAUAUUUAUUUUAGUAACUGCGCACAUUUCAGUGUAGGGGUGGCUGUCUUAUUUUGGGGAAAGUGCAAGAAUGAUUUUGUAAAGGGGUGUUUGCUUAAGAAGGGUAGGCUGUGAACUGUCACUUCCAUUAGGACAUUGAUUUAACAUCUCAGCCGCAGGAUGGAGCACAAGGAGGUUAAGUGACUUCCUCAGGGUCACACAGUGAGUCAGUGGCUGAGCUGGGGUUUGAACCAAGAACCUCCUGGCUACAAGCCUCUUUCUCUACCACUAGACCACCAAGCCUCAUAAGCCACCAUUGCCAAAAAGGUCAGGGGAUCUACAUUGGAGGAUCCUACAUACUAUCAUUGCUGUAAAUUCCUUUUUCACAUAAUGGCUGAAGCAAUCACUUCCGUGUCUGAGGAGCAGUUCAGCUGCUCCGUGUGUCUGGAGAUUUUUAAGGAUCCGGUCACCCUCCCCUGUGGACACAGUUACUGCAUGGAGUGCAUUGAUUACCACUGGAAACAACCUGAGCAGAGAGGCGCCAUCAGCUGCCCCCAGUGCCGACACAACUUCUCUCCUAAACCCGUCUUGAGAAAGAACUUUGUCUUGGCUGAUGUUGUGGAGAGACUGAAGCAGACGGGACUCAGCCCCUCUCUCUCCGCUCACAGUCUCACUGGGACUGGACACGUGCCCUGUGACUUCUGCACUGGGAGAAAACUGGGAGCGGUGAGAUCCUGUCUGACUUGCAGCGCCUCCUACUGCCCAGAGCACCUCAAACCUCACUUCACGGUCUUGUCUUUCAAGAGGCACCAGCUGGUGGAGGCCACUGGAGAUCUGAUUCAGACUCUGUGCCAGCAGCACCACAGACCUCUGGAGGUGUUCUGUAGGACGGACUGGAGCUUUGUGUGUCUGCUGUGUGCAGCCACCAAACACAGGAGCCACUGUACAGUCACCCCUGAGGAAGAGAGAGCCAGCACACAGGCGGUGGAGCUGCACUCUUGUGUGUGGUGGAAGGAGGGCGUUCAGCUGGCGAAGCAGGCGUACGACACGCUCAAGGCCUGGAUCCCCAAGCGAGAGGCCUCUGCCAGCCAGCUUCGGUACAUCGCCCAGCAGCUGGAAAGGAUGAGACGAGAAGCCAACUACAGCCGCAAAGUGAGGGGUCUGGCCGCUGUGGGGGCCUUUGUUUCGGCGUUGUGCACUGCAGGCCUGGGCGCGCCUCUGCUGGGGGCGGUGGCUGGGGGCGUGGCCGUCACGACGGCUAUGACGGCCAUAUGGGGCGUGGCGCAGAGAGUAGAGAGCUUCAAGACCAGCGACUGCAUGAAGACCGCCAGGAAGAUCACAGAGACCGACAAGGAGGCCGCCAAAAAGGUGGUCAGGCUGAUGAAGGAGCUGGACAAGAUGGUCGAAAGGAUCGCAGCCUCUCAAAGGUGUGUCGACAGCCCAGAGCCGCUCAGGAAGGAGCACGUCUUCACAAGAUUAGUCUCCGCAGGGCUGUUCGCUGGUACAACCCUUCUGACCGCGCGAAACGUGAACAAGAUGGCCUUCCUGAUGGGCAAGCUGGCAAAGAACAUGAGGGCCAUCAGCGUGCCUGGCGAGACAGCGGCCUGCGGGCCCAGGUUGGUCUUCUCGGUAGUUGGGCUGGGAUUUGACAUCACGGUCCUGGUUAGUGCUGCCCUGGAACAGGCCGCAAAACAAGGGAAUGAGGCCGCCCACAUGUUAAGACAAGCGGCGGACCAAAGUGAAGAAAGCCUGAAAGAGCUCAAGAACACCCUGGGUGAAAUUGAGUGAGGUGUGACACUGUUUGGAACACCCUGGUGAAAUUGAGUGAGGUGUGACGCUGUUUGGAACACCCUGGGUGAAAUUGAGUGAGGUGUGACGCUGUUUGGAACACCCUGGGUGAAAUUGAGUGAGGUGUGAUGCUGUUUGGAACACCCUGGGUGAAAUUGAGUGAGGUGUGACGCUGUUUGGAACACCCUGGGUGAAAUUGAGUGAGGUGUGACGCUGUUUGGAACACCCUGGGUGAAAUUGAGUGAGGUGGGACGCUGUUUGGAACACCCUGGGUGAAAUUGAGUGAGGUGUGACGCUGUUUGGAUCACCCUGGGUGAAAUUGAGUGAGGUGUGACGCUGUUUGGAACACCCUGGGUGAAAUUGAGUGAGGUGUGACGCUGUUUGGAACACCCUGGGUGAAAUUGAGUGAGGUGUGACGCUGUUUGGAACACCCUGGGUGAAAUUGAGUGAGCACCAACAGCGAUGAUGCUAAAGAGGAAUUCUCAGUCCGCUGGUUUGCAGAGAGGGUUCUCAAGCCUUUACGCUGAGAGGGGUCCGAUGGAUGGACGGAUAUCAGAAAACCAGAAAAUGGAUUCAUAUUUUAUUUUGCUUUAUUUUUUUCAAUAAAGAGGAAGAAUUUCCACCAUUGAUAUGUUGCUUAUCUUUACAUUCCAAAAAGUAAGAUUUCGAUUUUUUUUAUAAUUUGCUUCUCUCUCUUUUUCACCCCUCAUGUUUUUGGUUAGCUUCACCGGUACACAUUCAUUUGUAAAAAUGAGGUGUCUGUAUAAUUUGUAUACGAAGACCUGGACAUUGUUUUCCUUUACAAUUGAUUGAAAUAUCGCUGUGAUUAAUUAACCUGUGUAAAUGAUUAUAACAAUUGAGCAAUUGUGUGCAUUUUGGGGUAUAAGGGAGCCCAGGUUUUACCCUGUGAUGCUUCGAUACAGACCAGUGUGGUCACAUCAGCUCUUUCCUUUAUUCUAAAUAAAGUGCUUUUGUGUGCAA